rnacentral:lncRNA from 1 species
UAAUCACUUGAGUUUAACUUGCUAUUUCGUUUUCUCCAGGUCAGAUUCGGCUUGGAGAGUCAUUCUUGCUAUUUAGAUCUCGUUUCUUGGCCUCCAAUGAACCAUAUUAAUUCGUGUUCUGAUUAUUAGCUAAUUAUCCAUGGUUUUAGGGUUUUUGUUUCAGAUCUGGUACUGAUAAGUUUGAUUUCUUUGUUUCGUUUUAGAUCUAAUUGUCUAAAGCUUUCUUAGAAAUUUUCUCGUGACUUGGCAACUCGAUC